GCGGCGGACGGGUGAGUAAUGCAUAGGAAACUGCCCAGUAGUGGGGGAUAGCCCGGGGAAACCCGGAUUAAUACCGCGUACGCCCUUCGGGGGAAAGCAGGGGAUCUUCGGACCUUGCGCUAUUGGAUGUGCCUAUGUCGGAUUAGCUAGUUGGUGGGGUAAAGGCCUACCAAGGCGACGAUCCGUAGCUGGUCUGAGAGGAUGAUCAGCCACAUCGGGACUGAGACACGGCCCGAACUCCUACGGGAGGCAGCAGUGGGGAAUAUUGGACAAUGGGGGCAACCCUGAUCCAGCCAUGCCGCGUGUGUGAAGAAGGCUUUCGGGUUGUAAAGCACUUUCAGUGAGGAGGAAAAGUUGGUCGUUAAUACCGGCCAGCCUUGACGUUACUCACAGAAGAAGCACCGGCUAACUCCGUGCCAGCAGCCGCGGUAAUACGGAGGGUGCAAGCGUUAAUCGGAAUUACUGGGCGUAAAGCGCGCGUAGGUGGUUUGAUAAGCGAGAUGUGAAAGCCCCGGGCUUAACCUGGGAACGGCAUUUCGAACUGUCAGGCUAGAGUAUGGUAGAGGAGUGUGGAAUUUCCUGUGUAGCGGUGAAAUGCG
rnacentral:rRNA from 1 species